AAUUCGGGACUUCGGAAUCAGUUUUUGUCGCGAAGGCUGACCACGAAGGUUGUCACAAGUUGUUAAAAUAAAAGGAAAUAAACAAAACAAAUCGGUGCAAAAUGAAAUUCUUGUUUGCGAUCGCUUGCGUUUUUGCUCUGGUGCUGGCCGUUGCGCUCGCCAUGCCGGCCGUCAACGACGAGAGCAUCAUUGCCGUUCCCUCGGACGCCAUGCUGAUGAACGAAGCCGAAAAUCCUCAGGACCCCCAGCAAACCUUCGGACUGUUGCUGCUCAAGAAGAAGCUGCUGCUGUUGGGAUAAGCGAAUGGGUUGGUUUUUUUUUGUCAAAACCUUUUGAAAACUUGAAUUCGAAUUGAAAAUGAUUGGAAUAUCGUUAUGACUGCUGAAUAUUUAAAUAACUCGUCCUAUGA